CCAGACUCCUACGGGAGGCAGCAGUGGGGAAUAUUGCACAAUGGGCGCAAGCCUGAUGCAGCCAUGCCGCGUGUGUGAAGAAGGCCUUCGGGUUGUAAAGCACUUUCAGCGGGGAGGAAGGCAAUAAGGUUAAUAACCUUGUUGAUUGACGUUACCCGCAGAAGAAGCACCGGCUAACUCCGUGCCAGCAGCCGCGGUAAUACGGAGGGUGCAAGCGUUAAUCGGAAUUACUGGGCGUAAAGCGCACGCAGGCGGUCUGUCAAGUCAGGUGUGAAAUCCCCGGGCUCAACCCGGGAACUGCAUUCGAAACUGGCAGGCUAGAGUCUUGUAGAGGGGGGUAGAAUUCCAGGUGUAGCGGUGAAAUGCGUAGAGAUCUGGAGGAAUACCGGUGGCGAAGGCGGCCCCCUGGACAACGACUGACGCUCAGGUGCGAAAGCGUGGGGAGCAAACAGGAUUAGAUACCCGCGUAC
rnacentral:rRNA from 1 species